GUGGAGGAUGAUGAGUUUUGUGAAGUAGAAUGUUCGUGUGGUCUUCAGUUUUGUUUCAGUUGCUUAUCAGAAGCUCACUCACCGUGUUCAUGUUUGAUGUGGGAACUUUGGAUUAAGAAGUGCCGAGAUGAAUCUGAAACUGUUAACUGGAUUACAGUACAUACAAAGCCCUGCCCAAAGUGCCAUAAACCUGUCGAGAAGAAUGGAGGUUGUAACCUUGUUAGCUGCAUCUGUGGUCAGGCAUUUUGUUGGCUGUGUGGUGGAGCCACGGGUCGAGAGCACACUUGGUCAAGUAUUUCUGGUCAUAGUUGUGGGCGUUACAAAGAAGAAUCAGAACAGAAAGCUGAGCGAGCAAAACGGGAUUUAUAUCGGUAUAUGCACUAUCAUAAUCGGUACAAAGCUCAUACAGAUUCUUUUAAGCUGGAAAGCAAAUUGAAGGAAUCUAUACAAGAGAAGAUCUCGAUAUCGGAAGAGAGGGAAUCCAUGCUCAGAGAUUUUAGUUGGGUAAACAAUGGACUGUCUAGACUUUUCAGAUCAAGGCGGGUUCUAUCAUACUCUUACCCAUUUGCAUUCUAUAUGUUUGGGGAUGAG
rnacentral:misc_RNA from 1 species